UGCAAGUCGAGGGGCAGCGGGAUUGAAGCUUGCUUCAAUUGCCGGCGACCGGCGCACGGGUGAGUAACGCGUAUCCAACCUUCCGUACACUCAGGGAUAGCCUUUCGAAAGAAAGAUUAAUACCUGAUGGUAUGAUGAGAUUGCAUGAUAGCAUCAUUAAAGAUUCAUCGGUGUACGAUGGGGAUGCGUUCCAUUAGGUAGUAGGCGGGGUAACGGCCCACCUAGCCUACGAUGGAUAGGGGUUCUGAGAGGAAGGUCCCCCACAUUGGAACUGAGACACGGUCCAAACUCCUACGGGAGGCAGCAGUGAGGAAUAUUGGUCAAUGGACGAGAGUCUGAACCAGCCAAGUAGCGUGAAGGAUGAAGGUCCUACGGAUUGUAAACUUCUUUUAUAAGGGAAUAAAACCUCCCACGUGUGGGAGCUUGUAUGUACCUUAUGAAUAAGCAUCGGCUAACUCCGUGCCAGCAGCCGCGGUAAUACGGAGGAUGCGAGCGUUAUCCGGAUUUAUUGGGUUUAAAGGGAGCGCAGACGGGUCGUUAAGUCAGCUGUGAAAGUUUGGGGCUCAACCUUAAAAUUGCAGUUGAUACUGGCGUCCUUGAGUGCGGUUGAGGUGUGCGGAAUUCGUGGUGUAGCGGUGAAAUGCUUAGGUAUCACGAAGAACUCCGAUUGCGAAGGCAGCACACUAAGCCG
rnacentral:rRNA from 1 species